CCUACGGGUGGCAGCAGUGAGGAAUAUUGGUCAAUGGACGAGAGUCUGAACCAGCCAAGUAGCGUGAAGGAUGACUGCCCUAUGGGUUGUAAACUUCUUUUAUAUGGGAAUAAAACGUUCCACGUGUGGGAUUUUGUAUGUACCAUAUGAAUAAGGAUCGGCUAACUCCGUGCCAGCAGCCGCGGUAAUACGGAGGAUCCGAGCGUUAUCCGGAUUUAUUGGGUUUAAAGGGAGCGUAGGUGGAUUGUUAAGUCAGUUGUGAAAGUUUGCGGCUCAACCGUAAAAUUGAAGUUGAAACUGGCAGUCUUGAGUACAGUAGAGGUGGGCGGAAUUCGUGGUGUAGCGGUGAAAUGCUUAGAUAUCACGAAGAACUCCGAUUGCGAAGGCAGUUCACUGGACUGCAACUGACACUGAGGCUCGAAAGUGUGGGUAUCAAACAGGAUUAGAUACCCCUGUAGUC
rnacentral:rRNA from 1 species